rnacentral:rRNA from 1 species
GAUGAACGCUGGCGGCGUGCCUAAUACAGGCAAGUCGAGCGAACGGACGAGCAGCUUGCUUCUCUGAUGUUAGCGGCGGACGUGUGAGUAACACGUGGAUAACCUACCUAUAAGACUGGGAUAACUUCGGGAAACCGGAGCUAAUUCCGGAUAAUAUUUUGAACCGCAUUGUUCAAAAGUGAAAGACGGUCUUGCUGUCACUUAUAGAUCGAUCCGCGCUGCAUUAGCUAGUUGGUCAGGUAACGGCUUACCAAGGCAACGAUUCAUAGCCGACCUGAGAGGGUGCUCGGCCACACCGGAUCAGUGCCGCGGUCCAGACUGCUACGGGAGGCCGCAGUAGGGAAUCCUCCGCAAUGGGCGAAGGCCUGACGGUGCAACGCGGCGCGAGUUAUGCAGCUGCCCCGACCGUGAGACUAUGUUAUCAGGGGCUACCCUAUGUGUAAGUAAAUGUAGACUCCGGCACGAUCCCUUCUCCGCCACGCCCCGCUAAACACGUG